UCAAUGGCUGCCGAGCGGAGGCUGAGCGCCGCGCAGGCAUUAGCAUGAGAGAGACGCCGAGCGGAUAAAACCGGAGACAAAAGUCCAGCUGUGAGAUGAACGUGGAUGAAGAAUGGAACGGAUCUCGUCUUCAGGCUUAUUACCAUCGGUCGGAGGUUUGGGGUGAUGGAGGCUGCAGCCCAUCGGAGGUGGCAGAAGAUAAUGAAGCUCUGUGUUUUCAGCGCCGCCCCACAGGUGGAGCCCACACUCUGAGAGCAGCCGGUUACCUGCAGGGUCCUGGGGGAGCUCAGGUGAGGAAGAAGCCGGCCAGGUGAGUAGAACCGAAGCAGGAACAGAAUUCAGUCUUAUAAACCUGAAUGUUCCAGAUAGUUUACAUCCUCUGCCCUGAACCCAGCGGAACACCUCUGGACUGUUCCUGGUUCCAUGAGAAAAUACCUAGAAAUGGAGGACAUUUAUGUUCUAAAAUACCUGGAAACCUGUCCAGAUUCCUCCAAAUUUAAAAAAAUGUCUUGAAAUUGCCCAUAAUAACUUCAAAAUUGUAAUUUACAAAGAUUGUCCAAAAAUGUGUAGGAACCUGUCCUAGAUUACUCAGAUCUGUCCACAGUUUCUCAUCUGAAGUUAGUCAAAUUAAGCCCACAAGAAGAUAAAGAUUGCCCCAAAUACCUGGAAACAUGUUCAAAAUGACUCCGAAUUUUAAAAAAUGUCUUGAAAUGUGUCAAACAUGUCUUGAAAUGGCCCACAAUAGCUUAAAGUUGUCCAAAAUAUCUUGAAACUUGUCCAGUGUCAGACAAAUACUGUUCAAAAAUACACUAAAAUGUUCAGAAUGCUGCUAUAGUGUCUCCAUAAUGUUCCUGUCAGUGGUUAUCUAUGGAUGGAUCCAUGUUCUACUAAAAUACAGUCUUUGGUCCACAUUUCUCCACCUGUUGAUGCUCUAACAUCAAGAAUCUGAUGGUUAAAGUUUGACCAAACAGGGUUGCAGGUUUUUAGACAUUUCAACUUGAAAUCUGUCCAAAACGACACAACUUGUCCACAAUCAGCUAUAGAUUGCCUAAAAUGACUUGAAACCUGUCCACAGUUACAACAAAAUGGUCUAAGAGGACCAAAUCUGUAAAACUAUUAUCAAAAUCUGCUCAGAAAUCAUUUAAAUCGUCCAGAAUGACAGUCAUGGUUAGUUAUUGACCCUUUGAGAAGAGACAGAAUCGUUCCCAACAGAUCUGAAUGAAUGAAUGGAUGAAUGGAUGAAUGGAUCCAGUUUAAUUAUUGGACCUUAAAAAUGAAGACGUGAUAAAUGUUCAAAGGUUCUAUAGGUUCCAGGUGGUUGAGGAGUUCAGACAUCCAGAGUCUGAUCUCAGCUUUUUAUCUCAUUUUAGCGUGUCUUUGCCCAUUUCAUCUCAUUUAUAUCUUAUUUUAUCUCAUCUCAUUCUUAUCUUUUGUUAUCUCAUUUAUCUUAUCUAUUUUUGAUCUCAGUUCAUUUUUAUCGUAUCUUAUUUUAUCUCAUCCUAUCUUAUUUCAUUUUUAUCUCAUCUCAUUUUUAUUGCGUCUUAUUUGAUCUUCUUUCAUUCUAUCUUACCUUUCUAUUUUAUCUUAUUUCAUUUUAUCUUCUCUCAUCUAAUCCUAUCUUUUCUCAUCUCAUCUCGUUUUAUCUUGUCUUGUCUCAUUAUAUAGUAUCUCAUCUCAUCUCAUUUUUUCUGUUAUUUCUUCUUAUCUCGUUUUUGUCUGAUCUUAUUUUCAUCUCACGUUAUCUCAUCCUGGCUAAUUUCCGCUCCAAACGUUCCAGAUGAUUUCAUUUUUUUUACUGUGAUUGAUUGGAUAUUUCAGAAGCUUUGUUGACAUAUUCCACCUCAGAACCGGACUCUUUGUCUCAUAUCCUUACUUAGCUGCUCAGAUAGCGGUUCUACCAGCCUUCAGCAGCAGUGAACGGGUCAGAAUAAUGAUUUCUGGCGGUUCCUCUGUUUGGUCCUGAACCCGGUUCUUCAGAGUGUAGCGUCUCAGCGGGGCUCUGCUGUGUGACACACAGACUGACAGAUCCACGGAGGUGACAAUGUAGAAUAAUGCAAUCUGUAUGGACAGAGUCAUCACAGCGGCUCCAUAGGAAGGCGGCAGGAAUGUAGAUAAGGAGGUUAUGUGUGAGGACCAAUUUAUUCUCCUUGGCAGGGUGGGAAGCGUUCACAUGUCUGGAUGACAGCAGAAGUCUCAAUAAUGAAAUCUGCUCAAAGUGUAUUUGUGUCCAGAGAGGUGACACGUAGGAUGAAGAGCAGCUGCCGGGUAACGAUGAGCGUCUUUACAUCUUUAUUUAUCCUCCGACUGCACGUGGAAACGCAGCAGCAGACGGACUGUAAGGAGGUGUUGUUGAUUGAAACAAGCAGAGAGUCGAGGUUAACAAACCUGAUCUGAACUGGUUCUCUGCUGUGACACAACAGCAGCUUUAUCAGCAUGUAGAGCACAGGAAGAGGCAGACAUCCUGUAGGUUUAUUUAUCUGUAACUAUUAAAGCUGAAACCAGCUCCUGUAGCCACAAAGAGAAGCGCCAUGUUUAGCUCCUUUAAGACUGUUCUCUACCAGAUCUGAGCUUAAAUCACACUCAUUCAUCAAAAUCACUCUAUUCUAUGUUUCAUUUCAAAAUUCUCUAUCAGAGUCUGUAAAAACUGAAAUUCUUCCCUCCUGGCUCCUCCUCUCUGUGACACAUCAACUUUAUCAGCACGUAGAGCAAAGAAAGAUGAAGAAGAUUCUGUAGGUUUAUAAGAAUUAAAGCUGUAACUACCUCCUCUACCUCCGGAUUUUAACCGUCUGACCAACAGCUGGAAGCUUUGAGAGCCUUGCUGGCAUCAGGCAGAACCUGUAAACACAAAGACAAUCAUCAUUUUUGACAGUAAUCUUAACGUACACUUUCAUCAGGAAAACUAAGCUCCAGUUCAGAUUUCAAGUCCUUAAAACUUCAAAACACGUCUUUGUGCUCCUAAUUAUUCAUGAAUUAAAGAGCUUUCAUUGCAGAGGAAACCUUAAUUCCUGUAAGUCCGUAGUUUGUGGUUCUCUGUAGAUGAAACUGAUGAACCAACAGAUGAUGCUGUGAACGGUUGGUUCCAUCGCUCAGCUCCAUCUCCACAUCCUGCUCCUUCCAGGUCUUCCUUCGGUCUUCUCGUCUCUGAUUCCUGCGUUUCACUGUUUUGGAGGAUUUUGAAUAAAGUGUGUAAAUUUUGGGAGCUGUUAAAAACAGCAUUCAUGUUUUUGUUGCUGCUUUCCACAGUAGAGACCUGUAGCUCUGUGUUCCUCGUCUCCUCCUCCAUGCCUUCCAUCCUGUUCCUUCUCAUCCUUUUCCCUCCGUGCUGGUUGAAGAUAAAUCCAUUAGUUUUCUGAACUUUGUGUUUGUGCAGGUUUGCAGCUGACAGACGGUACAGAUGUUAUUAACACCUGGACAGACACACACCUGCUCUGACGGGACUUUUACCGCGUUUUUGUGAAGCUUUGACGGAUGCUGUUUGUUUGUGUUGGUCUGUGUGUGCUGUUUGUUUUGUGUCUUUCUGCUUCUGUUGUGUGUUUGUGGAGUGACAUUUUUCCACUGCAGGUGUGACAUGCGUUCCCCCGGCGCUGCAGCGAUGCUACCUGCCUCCCACACACACCUUCCGUCCACCUCAGUCGCAGCUCCGCCGCUCGACAAGCUAAUUUAGCCAAUUACACGCAGGUGUGAUGCUAAUUUCCCCGAGCUGGCAGCGGCUCCUGGAGGAGGUAAAAAUAACAUAAUUACACCCAUCUGUCCCCGAGCAGGGAGGCUGUCCCACUGGGUGUCGGCUCCACAAAACACACACCGGAGAGGAAAAACACACUGUUGGCUGGAUAAUGGAGCGGAGACAAUGGACGGAGUGUGUGUGCAGGAAUCCAGCCUCAGUCGCUUUUUCUCCUCUUUGUUUGAAGCUUUCAAUGGAUUUUUAGCGAUACACAGCAAUUUCCCCCCAAGAAAAGAAAAACAGAGUUUUGGUGCGGCGGGAUAAUUAUGUGAAGCUGUUUUCAGAGGCUGAAGGAAGGAGGAGAGAAUGCAGACUGAAACACAAAACACAGCGAGGUCACAGCAGACGACAGAAAAAACGGAGAGACGCUUUAAUCCUGCAGCAACAAGCAGCGAACAAGUUUCUCUGCAGACGUUAAACAGCACAUUUAAGCUCCACACUUCUGGCUCUCUAGAAACUCAUUCAUUCCUGAUUUGUUGGACAUUUUCAUCACGUACAGGUCGUCCAUCAAGGCAGCUAGAACAUCCAGGAGGUGCAGAAAAGUCAAAUUCAGUCCCAAUAAAGACUGCAAGACCAAAAUCUCCACCUAGUUCAUGGUUCCACAGCUGCACCAGCACUUUACCAAUCAGUCCAUCAGUAGGAUCAUCAUGACCAAUAAAACCAACUGACUGCAUCAAUCACUGAUCUUUUAGAGAGUGGUAGUAUUUAAGGGUCGUCCAGAACAUCCAGGAAGUACAGGGAUGGAUCUCCUACCAGUUCUUUGCCUCUAAAGCACCGACUCUCUACAGGAAAGCUGCUUCCAGAUUAGGCACAAUCACUUUGCUGUUCUAGAGCCAAGAACUCUUCAAAAUAUGUAUAUAGGUUGUGACCAAGAAGACCUGCUGAAGACGAUGGAAAACUCAGAUUGAGUCCAACUGAAAGCUGGAAGAUGGUUCAGCCACAGACUUAUCUUCUCAACAGACCCUAACAUCAGACCGGUUCCUCUGGUGCAGAUCUCAGCAGAUCUUUUCCUGGAUGAAGAACAAACUAAGCAUGCUGACGAGCAUAAAGGUGCCUCCAGUAACGGUAGGUAGAUGUUCUGAUCAGCUGAUCUGUAGAAGAGCCUGAAACAUCCAAACGUCUUCUUCAGGGCAGAUUGACGGCAGCUACUCCUGUCAGAAGGUUUGGAUGGAUGAUCGUAACCAACUGGAGACAACAAAAGAACUCAAAGAAACGUUUGGAUCCUGCAGCAAGAAGCAGAGAUGAAGCUCCUCUGCAGGAACAUCAUCAUCUCACAUCAAAUCUGGAACCAUUAGAGUCUCCACAGUUUGACUGAUCGCUGAUUAAUCACUGACAGUUUGUCCUUCUUCAUCAUCCAUCAGUGAGGAAACAUCUCUUAGUGUUGAACAUCCAGAAGAACAGAAGGUCAGAAUCAGUCCAACUGAAGUAUGCAGACCAGAAUGUAAACCAGAUCUUCACACUUAGACAACCAAAGAACCAUCUGAUGGGACAAAAACUGGUUCCAGUGCAGCGGCGACACAUUUAGUUGAUGUCGAUGGAAACAUCCAGGAUGGAAACAUCAGCUGAACAUCUGUAACUCAGAGACGUCUUCUGUUAGUAGGACUUAGUUACAAUGAUGGAAAAUAUGUUUAAAAUGACUCAAACUCUGAUUAAAAUGUCAAAAUAGUGAGCAAAAUGACUCAAAAUAUUCUCCAAAAUUAGUCCAGAAUCACUCAAUGUUUGUUUAAAAUCAUAAAAAUGUUUUUAAUGAAGUGAAAUUUAAAGUCACAGACAUUUGUCCAGAAAUGACUCAAAAUUUGCCUUUAUGACAAAAAAUUGUCCUUAAUUAAUGAACCUUGUGUAAAAUGACUCAAAACCAAUUUAAAAUGACAAGAUUUGUCUAAAAUCUGCUUAAAAUGACCAAAAUAAAUUGUCUUAAAUGGCUGAAACUUCUCUGGAAUAAGAAGAAUUCAUCCAAAAAUUGCCAAAACUAGUUUGAAAUGACUCAAAUUUUGAUUAAAAUGUCAAAAUAUUGAGCAAAAUGAUUCAAAUCAUUCCCCAACAUAUGUCCAAAAUCAUUAAAAUGUGUUUUAAUGAAGUGAAAGUUGUUUAAAUGACAGAAAUUCAUCAAAAAAUGAAUCAAAAUUUGCUCGGAAUGACAAAAUAUCGUCCAAAGUGACUUGUAAUUACUCAGUGUUUACUUUUAUGACAAAAAAUUACCUUAAAUGACUGAAACUUGAUUAAAAGGACUCAAAACCAGACUAGAAUGACAAAACAAACAAAAUUAAAUGAAACGUGUCUGAAAUUACAAAAAUCCAUCUCAAAUGAUCAAAAAUUACUCAAAACCAACAACAAAACAAAAUGAGAUACAUGGAUCUAUUAAAUUAAAAACAGGGUUUGUAGACGAGGCUGAGCAGCUUCAUCAGGGUUGGUUUUAACUCUCAGCAGGUCAGACUGACAGGUCAGCAGAUUUCAGCUGAACUGCAGGAAGAGUUUUCACUGGAGGAUGGAAAAUAAUUCAGAAAAUAUCUGCUCUGGUCCUGUUUUCAGAACUGUCAGGUCUGUUAUGAUUUGAUUUGAUCUGUUUCAGUUUAAAAUACUUUUAGAAUCUGAAAGAACACUCAGAAUUAAUAAUUCAUCAAGGUGAAGGAGUUUGUAGUCAGAGAUCAAUCAGUCAAUCAAUCAAUCAAUCAAUCAAUCAAUCAAUCAAUCAAUCAAUCAAUCAAUCAAUCAAUCAAUCAAUCAGACUUUAGUUGAACUGCAGUUUCCACCAAAUAAAAGUUAACACAGCAUGAUUUCCACAGCAGAAGAAAUAAAAGCUAUAAAGUUAUUUAUAUUUCCACUAAAUCUUUGGGUUUUAAACGUGCAGCUUCUGACUGAAUCUCUUUAAUGUCUGGUCUGUUGGCGCCACCUGAUGGUGACUUUGUGUAACAGCAGCUGCAGAGUUUACGAACCAGAUCCAGUUCAUGUAGUAAUAUGAAAGAUUUUAUGUAUUUAGAUUUCAAUAUUUUCCUUUAAUUAUGUAUAAAAACAUUUUGUUUGAAGCAGGAUUGUUAAUUCUGAAGCUGAAAAGCAAAAGUUUGUGUAAAAACUUAUAAAAUAAUUUUAAAAAAUGCUUUCGAUUGUAGAGGAAAAGAUCAUUUUUGCAGCUCAGUGUAGUUUUUUCAUGUUGUGGUUUUAUUAAGAAAAGAUGAAAAUAAUGAAUAAUGAAUGUCAGAUAUUCUGAGACUGUUUGAUUUCAAAAAUAAAAGUCUUCAUCGCUGUGCUGAAUGUAACUGGAACAGAUUUAGAUCAGCAUAAACAUGGACUGGAACAAACUCUCUCUUGACCCUGUAAAACCCAAAUAUAAAAAAAGCAAAAAUAAUCAUAUAUUAUUUUAA